rnacentral:misc_RNA from 1 species
GUAGGUGAACCUGCAGAAGGAUCAUUACGCGUAUUUAUUUUUUUACUCAAAACAUAAAAAAAAAUUUAUGCACAUAUUAAUUAAUACUGUAACAAGUUUGACUGUAGACACUUAAUAGCUCAGUCUCUUUUUUUUCACAAUUUUCAAACUAGCUUUUUUUUUUUAGUUCUGCGGAACCUAAAAAUUUAACACACACAUUUUUUAAGUAGUUCUUUUACUUGAUAAAAUAAAAGCUGGUUGAGCGAUGGAUCUCUUGGUUCCUUGCAUCGUUGAAGGUCGCAG